rnacentral:rRNA from 1 species
GGAUAAGCGCUGAAAGCAUCUAAGCGCGAAGCCUACUCCAAGAUGAGAUCUCCCAUGCACAAGAUGCAGUAAGACCCCUUGAAGACGACGAGGUAGAUAGGUCAGAGAUGGAAGCGUAGCGAUACGUGGAGUUGACUGAUACUAAUCGGUCGAGGACUUAAUCACAA